UGGAUCCAGACUUUGAUCCUGGCUCAGGAUGAACGCUAGCUACAGGCUUAACACAUGCAAGUCGAGGGGAAACGACAUCGAAAGCUUGCUUUUGAUGGGCGUCGACCGGCGCACGGGUGAGUAACGCGUAUCCAACCUGCCCAUCACUUGGGAAUAACCUUGCGAAAGUAAGACUAAUACCCAAUGAUAUCCCAUGAAGACAUCUGAAUGGGAUUAAAGAUUUAUCGGUGAUGGAUGGGGAUGCGUCUGAUUAGCUUGUUGGCGGGGUAACGGCCCACCAAGGCAACGAUCAGUAGGGGUUCUGAGAGGAAGGUCCCCCACAUUGGAACUGAGACACGGUCCAAACUCCUACGGGAGGCAGCAGUGAGGAAUAUUGGUCAAUGGGCGAGAGCCUGAACCAGCCAAGUAGCGUGCAGGAUGACGGCCCUAUGGGUUGUAAACUGCUUUUAUAAGGGAAUAAAGUGAGUCUCGUGAGACUUUUUGCAUGUACCUUAUGAAUAAGGACCGGCUAAUUCCGUGCCAGCAGCCGCGGUAAUACGGAAGGUCCGGGCGUUAUCCGGAUUUAUUGGGUUUAAAGGGAGCGUAGGCCGGAGAUUAAGCGUGUUGUGAAAUGUAGAGGCUCAACCUCUGCACUGCAGCGCGAACUGGUCUUCUUGAGUACGCACAACGUGGGCGGAAUUCGUGGUGUAGCGGCGAAAUGCUUAGAUAUCACGAAGAACUCCGAUUGCGAAGGCAGCUCACGGGAGCGCAACUGACGCUGAAGCUCGAAAGUGCGGGUAUCGAACAGGAUUAGAUACCCUGGUAGUCCGCACGGUAAACGAUGGAUGCCCGCUGUUGGCCUGAAUAGGUCAGCGGCCAAGCGAAAGCAUUAAGCAUCCCACCUGGGGAGUACGCCGGCAACGGUGCAA
rnacentral:rRNA from 1 species